UACGAAGGGGGCUAGCGUUGCUCGGAAUCACUGGGCGUAAAGGGUGCGUAGGCGGGUCUUUAAGUCAGGGGUGAAAUCCUGGAGCUCAACUCCAGAACUGCCUUUGAUACUGAGGAUCUUGAGUUCGGGAGGAGGUGUAGUGGAACUGCGAGUGUAGAGGUGAAAUUCGUAGAUAUUCGCAAGAACACCAGUGGCGAAGGCGGACUUCCUGGCCAUUCACUGACGCUGAGACGCGAAAGCGUGGG
rnacentral:rRNA from 1 species